AGAACGAACGCUGGCGGCAUGCCUAAUACAUGCAAGUCGAACGAACACUCUGACUUCGGUUGGGUGUUAGUGGCGCACGGGUGCGUAACGCGUGGGAAUCUGCCCUUGGGUUCGGAAUAACAGUUGGAAACGACUGCUAAUACCGGAUGAUAUCGAAAGAUCAAAGAUUUAUCGCCCAGGGAUGAGCCCGCGUAGGAUUAGCUAGUUGGUGGGUAAAGGCUCACCAAGGCGACGAUCCUUAGCUGGUCUGAGAGGAUGAUCAGCCACACUGGGACUGAGACACGGCCCAGACUCCUACGGGAGCAGCAGGUAGGGAAUAGUGGACAAGUGGGCGACAAGCCUAGGACUCCGAGGCAAUCGACCGCGUGAGUGAUAGGAACGGUCCGUUUAGGGUUAGUAAAGCUACUUUUACCGAGUA
rnacentral:rRNA from 1 species